GCGAGGAGGGGCGAGGUGCGGCGGAGGCCGGGUCGGGGAAGGAGGCCUGGGAACGGGACCUGGAGGGGGGCUGGGGCUGGGGUCCAGAUUCGAGGCGGAAGGCGUGGAAGAGAGAGGUGAGGAAGAGCAGGGGCUGUGGUGGUAGGGGUCUGGCAGAAUGGGGGCGUGGAGGAGGGAGACCCGGGAGGAAGGGAGGAAGGGAGGGAGGGAGGCAGAGCCUGGGAGCCCCGCAGACCCUCAGGAAUAGGGCCUAGAAAGGGCAGUGACCCUGGGGACGGUCACGGGCCAGGCCGGACUAGUGGGCCUGGCGUAUGAGGUGGGUGUGACAGGGAGGCCUGCCUGAGCUUGCCCGGCCAUCUCAGGUGUCUGGGAGAUCCCUCUGGGCCUGUCUUGGCCUGUGCCCCUUAGCAGGCCCCCUCUGCCCCAGGCAGCCUUCGCCCCACCCAGUUCGAGGUGGGUGGAGACUCAUCCCCCUCAGGCAGGCUCAACACCUGCCCAGGGCUCCAUCAACGCCUGUUCAGGCGAGUUGGAUUGAGCCGGGCAAGGACUGCCAGCUCAGAUGUCAGCUCCCUUGCCCUCUGAGGAGGAUGCAGAGUCCGCAGCGGGGUUUCCUUGUCUUGGCCUUGCAGACAGAGCUGAGGGCAGGUGUCCAAACUGCGCCUUCUUUCGGUUAUCCGAUAACUAUGUAGUCAUCACCUCCUAUGGCUAGGCCCUGUUUCAGGUGCUGGGGAUACAGCAGGAAACUAACAAAAUACCUGCCUUGGUUACAGGGGAAUAAAUAAGCAAAAUAAAGUAGUAAAUUGGAAGGUAAAAAUGGUUAGUUGAAGAAACGGAACAGGGUCCAAUGAGGAGAAUAAAGAAUUGACAGGGUGGUAAGAGAUGGCCUCAUUGAAGUGACAUUGGACAAGACUUGAAGAAGGUUCGUCUCUCAUCCCCUCAGCAGCCCUGGGGCUGUUCUUGGGAAGAAGAGACAUGGACCCGAGUCAACCAAGGGUGAAGAUGAAACUCAGAUAUUCAGAGAUGUGAGGAAGGAAGAUCAGGAGAUGCCUUCUGAUGUGACCAGCAUAACCUCGGGCACCUGCAAGGACCUAUGAGGAUUUAACACAGCAAUAAUAAGUGACUACAUUUGAGGCUUCCACCUUCACAGCAGGCCGUCCUGGAAGUGACUGACACCCACCAGCGUACCCUUCUGACCAUCUGCCUGAGCGCUGAGCUUGCUGGGAUAUGGGGGUUGGGAGGAGAAGCUGAUAAACACUGUCAGCCUGACAGUUGGGCUCCUUGGUCUCUGGGCUCAUUCCCACAUCUGCGAUGUUUUUUGAUCCUCACCCGUUGCCUGGGCUGCUCUGGCAGCUGCCACAGCAACCCUGGAGAUAUACAGGUGACCACAGGGGGAGAACGUCCCCAAAUGGUUUUCCAGGCAUUGCUGUUACAGGUUUGACAAGGAUGUGAAAAAUCACAGCCUGUAGGCCAAAUCCAGCCUUGAGGCCUGGCAAUGGCUGGCAGGAAAGGAGCUAAGUGGAAGAUGGCUCAGGAAGUCUGACUCCAGGAUAAUUCCUGCAGGAGAGCUGGCUUGCCAGGAGCCAUGGAGACGGGCUAAAUGUUCAGAGCAAAGGUCGAUGCAAAUGGGGAGGCCUCGGUGGUCUGGAAACGUCCCAGUCCUCUUCCCCCAAAAGCCUGGGCCCCCUGGACGACUAGAAUAAGGCAAACAAACUAUACUUCAAUUUAAAAAAAAAAACACCCACAACCAGAAUAGGGCAAGAGGUAAGCAGAGGGGAGAGGGCUUGAGAAAGAAGGCAGGCUGGGGAGGGGCGGGGGAGCCCCGAGGAAAGAAAGAGACUCGAGUGAGCAGGGGCUGGGCCUUUGCCCUUGUGCCUCCCUCGGCCUGGAAGACCCUUCCCACAUAUCCACGUGGUCCCCCCCCUUCAUUUAGGUCCCUGACCCAAGGCCACAUCCUUAGAGAGACCUUCCCGACCACCCUGUCCAAACCCGCUCCCUGCCCUUCCCUCCACUCUCUGUCCCCUUACUCAGCUACAGGCUUCUGCUGGUCACCACCUGAUUCAUAUUUAUUAAUUUAGUGUUUGUCUGCCUCCCUCACUAGAAUGUCAGCUCCACGAGGGCAGGGAUUUUUGUGUGGUCUUGUUCACUGCUGCAUCGCCAGCACUGAGAAUGGUGCCUGGCACGUAGUAGGUGCCUGGUAAAUAUUUGUUGAACGGCUGAAUGCGUAAAAGGAAGGUGGUGAGGCUGGAGUUGUACUCCAGGCAGGCAGGCCCGCAGUCAAGUGCAAAUCAGCUUUGCUGAAGCAUAUAGGUCAGGUUUGAGGGGGAGAUGGAAAUCCGGAAAGAGGAGAUGACGGGGCCUCAGUGCGCUAACCGAAUAAUCGCUGCUAACCUUUGACCUCACCAUGCCAGGCAGUAGCGCUGUCAUCUGGCUGCCUGAGCGGGGAGACUCCCCAAAGCCCGAGGGGUGUGAGCCACGCGUGCUCGGUGAUCCCUGUGGGCUACAGCAGUGCUUGUGACGAGCUGGGAUGCCAGCCGCAGUGCUCAUGCUUGAGUCAUGAUGCGGCAGUGCCUUUGGAUGUCUUUAAUUAUGAAGUUAUUGACAUGUACAGAAACAUAUAAUCAAUAGGCGCCUAUAUAAUAAAAUAAUAAAGUGAACACCAGGGACCCAACUGACCAUCUCAGAGUUAACCACAAGUUUGAUUUUUGUGUUGAUUACAUCCUUAUUUAGUUUUUUAAGUAGUUUUAUCACCAAACAUUUCCUGCCCCCCCUAGUACUAUGAGUGUAAUAUGUAACCUUAUGAUGCUGUUUAGUUUCAUGCUUCCUAAAAUGGGGUCCUGUUCUGUAAUUUGCUUUGUUGCUCAUUACGCUCCACGAUUUGUCCUUGUUAUGCGUAGCUGUGGUUCCUUCCUUUUCUGUAGUGGGUAAUACUCCAUGGCAUGGAGUAUAUUAUCCAUCCUCCAUGUU